CAUAUUCAUUAUCAUCUUAAGUUUAGAAGUUGCAACUGUUAUAUUCAAAGGAUGAAGAAAAUAUACAAUAUUAUACGACAUAGCUGGCAGGUUCUAAUAUUAAUUUUGUAUGACACAGCUUGCGUACAUCCAGGUUCACCAUACCGUUCUAAUAUCAUAACGGGAAAGACAUCAAUUAUUCCGGGAAAAGUUGACAAGUCUCUUCAUGUGCAGUGUCCUUUCGCACAUACAAGAACAGUUCUGAAAAGAGAUGCACUGAUCGUAAAAGAGUCAAGGCGUGGUUCUCUAGAAUAUUCCCUUAUUCCAAGAAAAGAAGAUCACGGUUCAACGUUUUCAUGAGACAUGUAUAAUUCGGCUGUUCGUAUAAGAUGGAAGACCACUGCUUCGCUUGAUAUCAGUUAUGAACCGUAUUUGUCUAUGAACUAUACAUCAAAACGUGUUUUUGAGGGACAAUCCGUAACACUAUGCUGCAGCUCCGAUAGUCGACCGCCAACAAUAGAAAUGUGGUGGGUCAUGGGAGGUAGAGUUCUGUCUUCAAAAUAUGAUACAGACUUCUUAUGUCAUGAAAUAACAAGUACCAGUCGUGGGGAUAGCGGUAGUUACAAAUGUUUUGCCGAAAACGAGGUUGGAACUGUAAAUGAUGAAGUAAUUAUUACCG